rnacentral:rRNA from 1 species
UACGGAGGGUGCAAGCGUUAUCCGGAUUUACUGGGCUUAGAGGGCGCGUAGGUGGACUUGUAAGUCAGUGGUGAAAUCUCCGAGCUUAACUCGGAAACUGCCAUUGAUACUAUAAGUCUUGAGUGUUCUGGAGGUGAGCGGAAUAUGUCAUGUAGCGGUGAAAUGCUUAGAUAUGACGUAGAACACCAAUUGCGAAGGCAGCUCACUGCGGGAUUAUUGACACUGAGGCGCGAAAGCGUGGGGAGCAAACAGG